GUCUUUUUAUAUGUUGUUAGUAUUUGCAUUACAGUAUUGAGGCGAAUCGCGGGUUUUCUGUGGUCUAUAUUAUUUAAAACGUUGUUCUGUGCUUGCUUUUUGUCGUAGCUAUGAUAUAACUGCUGCAUAUUAUAAUUGUUUAUAGAAAUUGUCUAACUGAUGUGUACCCCAAAUUAUCUUAAACUUAUACCUAGUUAUACCUAGUUAUAGAUUUGUUUGUUUUCUUGUUUCUGAAAGUUUAAAUUAAAAAAAAAACCAGUGGUUGUCAUUUCUUUUAGUUGUUAGGAGCGACACAUAUUCUGAGGGUUUAGAUGGGGUUAAAUGAUUAAAGAAUAAUGCCCUUAAAAAUGAUGAUUAGAGAAUAAAGGGCAAAAAAAAUGAAGAUUAGAGAAAAAAGGGGUUAAUUUUUUGAAGAUUAGAGAAAAAAGGGGUGAAAAUUAAAUGUUUACAGAAUAACAGACCCCCCCC
rnacentral:lncRNA from 1 species